AAUCUCGUGCCAGCCACCGCGGUUAUACGAGGAAUUCAAAUUAAUAUUCACGGCCCAAAGGGUAGUUUUAGAUAUAAUAAAAUAGGAUUAAAAUCUUACUUGACAGUUAUAAGUGAAUGUAAAACAUAAAACCAAAAACGAAAGUUAUACUAUAAUUUCUUGAAUCUACUACAGUUAAGAACCAAACUGGGAUUAGAUACCCCACUAUGCUCAACUUUAAAAUUGGACCUCUCGCCAGAGCACUACGAGCCACAGCUUAAAACUCAAAGGACCUGGCGGCGCCCUACACCCACCUAGAGGAGCCUGUUCUAUAAUCGACACCCCCCGAUAAACCUCACCACCUCUUGCUAAUACAGUCUAUAUACCACCGCCUCAGUGUACCUUUUAAAAGAAUAAAAGUGAACGAAAUAAUUUUAAAUAAAAAAGUCAGGUCAAGGUGUAGCAAAUGAGAUGGAAAGAAAUGGGCUACAUUUUUUAUUUUAAAAAACACGGAAUAUUCUAUGAAAUAAAAUAUGAAGGAGAAUUUAGAAGUAAAAAGAAAAAAGAGUGUUCUUUUUAAAUAGGUAAUAGAGCACGCACACACCGCCCGUCACCCUCUUUAAAAUAAUUAAGCUUAAUUAUAAAAGAGGAAAGUCGUAACAUGGUAAGUCUACCGGAAGGUGGCCUUGGAUAC
rnacentral:rRNA from 1 species